rnacentral:rRNA from 1 species
ACUCCUACGGGAGGCAGCAGUAGGGAAUCUUCCACAAUGGGUGCAAACCUGAUGGAGCAAUGCCGCGUGAGUGAAGAAGGUCUUCGGAUCGUAAAGCUCUGUUGUUAGAGAAGAACACGUGCUAGGUAACUACUAGCGCCUUGACGGUAUCUAACCAGAAAGUCACGGCUAACUACGUGCCAGCAGCCGCGGUAAUACGUAGGUGACAAGCGUUGUCCGGAUUUAUUGGGCGUAAAGGGAGCGCAGGCGGUCUGUUUAGUCUAAUGUGAAAGCCCACGGCUUAACCGUGGAACGGCAUUGGAAACUGACAGACUUGAAUGUAGAAGAGGAAAAUGGAAUUCCAAGUGUAGCGGUGGAAUGCGUAGAUAUUUGGAGGAACACCAGUGGCGAAGGCGAUUUUCUGGUCUAACAUUGACGCUGAGGCUCGAAAGCGUGGGGAGCGAACAGGAUUAGAUACCCUUGUAGUCCCA